CUUCUUCUUCUUUUUUUUCUUCUUCUUCUUCUUCUUCUUUAUUUUAAGAAAUGAAGGUAUGGAAUCUUCAGUUACAUCUUUUGUUUUUUGCCGGGUAAAAGGAGCGCUAGAAGGGUCACAUAAGCCAAAGGAAGCAAAGCAAUGGCAACAGCUGCAGAUAGCGACGAUGGGGAUAAUAAAAGGUUGGCCCAUGUAGGUCAUCUUUGCUUUUUGGUGCGUUUUGGAUUUCAGUGGCCAUUGGCUACAGUUUGGUUUCUCUUUUUUUAUUUUUCUCAAUUACUAAAUUGCCCCUAUUUGUAUUCUCAUUAUCAAUUUCAAAAACCCCCCAAAUUCUUUUUUUAUUUUUUAUUUAUCACCAUCCUUCAAGCUAAUUAUUCUUUUUAUUUGUGUAUUUUACUAGAUCAUAUGAUUAGUAAUGCAAUAAUAUUAUCUCAAAUCAAGUGCUUUAUAUUA